rnacentral:rRNA from 1 species
UGGGGAAUCUUGGACAAUGGGGGCAACCCUGAUCCAGCCAUGCCGCGUGAGUGAUGAAGGCCUUAGGGUCGUAAAGCUCUUUCGCCUGUGAAGAUAAUGACGGUAGCAGGUAAAGAAACCCCGGCUAACUCCGUGCCAGCAGCCGCGGUAAUACGGAGGGGGUUAGCGUUGUUCGGAAUUACUGGGCGUAAAGCGCACGUAGGCGGACCAGAAAGUUGGGGGUGAAAUCCCGGGGGCUCAACCCCGGAACUGCCUCCAAAACUAUUGGUCUAGAGUUCGAGAGAGGUGAGUGGAAUUCCAAGUGUAGAGGUGAAAUUCGUAGAUAUUGGGAAGAACACCAGUGGCGAAGGCGGCUCACUGGCUCGAUACUGACGCUGAGGUGCGAAAGUGUGGGGAGCAAACAGGAUUAGAUACCCUGGUAGUCCACACCGUAAAACGAUGAAUGCCAGUCGUCGGGUAGCAUGCUAUUCGGUGACACACCUAACGGAUUAAGCAUUCC